AACCGUUGUGCCCUACGAACGAGCCCCACCCGACCCCUAGGCCCUGGGCUUUUUUUCUCUGUCGUACUGGGUGCAAUAUAGAUGGGUUUCCACACCUAUCCGCGGGCUAUCAUCGGCCUAAAGAGGUUGCACAAGAUCAAAGAAACACAACUAGUCCAUUGGAAGAAAAGUAUUGGGACGAAAAUAAAAACUGGGUCUGGGCAUCUCCGAGCGGUUCUUGUGGGAAAAAACUUUGAUAUUACUCAGAGUGAGGCCUCCUAGUAGUUAUCUGUGAAUUUUCGGGACGUUCCUCACAUGGUUAAAAAUCGGCCGAUUUUUCGUAUGGUAAAGCCUUGGCCAUUUUUGGACCGUUUUUGGCGCAACCGUUGUGCACCCCGAACGAGCCCCACCCGACCCUUAGGCCCUGGGCUUUUUUUCUGUGUCAUACUGGGUGCAAUAUAGAUGGGUUUCCACACCUAUCCGCGGGCUAUCAUCGGCCUAAAGAGGUUGCACAAGAUCAAAGAAACACAACUAGUCCAUUGGAAGAAAAGUAUUGGGACGAAAAUAAAAACUGAGUCCGGGCAUCUCCGAGCGGUUCUUGUUGGAAAAAACUUUGAUAUUACUCAGAGUGAGGCCUCCUAGUAGUUAUCUGUGAAUUUUCGGGACGUUUCUCACAUGGUUAAAAAUCGGCCGAUUUUUCGUAUGGUAAAGCCUUGGCCAUUUUUGGACCGUUUUUGGCGCAACCGUUGUGCACCCCGAACGAGCCCCACCCGACCCCUAGGCCCUGGGCUUUUUUUUCUGUCCAUACUGGGUGCAAUAUAGAUGGGUUUCCACACCUAUCCGCGGGCUAUCAUCGGCCUAAACAGGUUGCACAAGAUCAAAGAAACAGAACUAGUCCAAGGGAAGAAAAGUAUUGCGACGAAAAUAAAACCUGAGUCCGGGAGUCUGCGAGCGGUUCUUGUGGGAAAAAACUUUGAUAUUACUCAGAGUGAGGCCUCCUAGUAGUUAUCUGUGAAUUUUCGGGACGUUUCUCACAUGGUUAAAAAUCGGCCGAUUUUUCGUAUGGUAAAGCCUUGGCCAUUUUUGGACCGUUUUUUGGCGCAACCGUUGUGCACCCCGAACAAGCCCCACCCGACCCCUAGGCCCUGGGCUUUUUUUCUGUGUCAUACUGGGUGCAAUAUAGAUGGGUUUCCACACCUAUCCGCGGGCUAUCAUCGGCCUAAACAGGUUGCACAAGAUCAAAGAAACACAACUAGUCCAUGGGAAGAAAAGUAUUGGGACGAAAAUAAAAACUGAGUCUGGGCAUCUCCGAGCGGUUUUUGUGGGAAAAAAACUUUCAUAUUACUCAAAGUGAGGCC
rnacentral:lncRNA from 1 species